CGCGAACUGCCGCAGGUACCCAGGCAUGGCGGGAGAGGGUGACAACGGCGGAAGUGACAUCACAUGAACACUGUGUAUUGUACUAAUGUGGUUACCAAGAAGUAUUGCUGGGCCGCUGAGAACAAUUUUCCAUUUAAAAGCCUGCAAAUGUGUGCUGCUUCUGCUUGAUGAGACAUACCCUGUUCAUCAAAACUGGCGCAUCUGUGGAUGUAACAAAAGAAUGGCUCGUGUUUGCUUCAAAUCAAGAAGGUGCACCUAUGCGAGAAGGAAUGCCGUUGGAUAGAUGAUAAGUUUUCGCGAAAUGGAAAAUGGCAUAUUGCCUUCUUUAUAUUACGUGUAAAAUAAACCUGAAGCACUAAAAAA